UUAAGCGACUAAGCGUACACGGUGGAUGCCCUGGCAGUCAGAGGCGAUGAAGGACGUGCUAAUCUGCGAUAAGCGUCGGUAAGGUGAUAUGAACCGUUAUAACCGGCGAUUUCCGAAUGGGGAAACCCAGUGUGAUUCGUCACACUAUCAUUAACUGAAUCCAUAGGUUAAUGAGGCGAACCGGGGGAACUGAAACAUCUAAGUACCCCGAGGAAAAGAAAUCAACCGAGAUUCCCCCAGUAGCGGCGAGCGAACGGGGAGCAGCCCAGAGCCUGAAUCAGUGUGUGUGUUAGUGGAAGCGUCUGGAAAGGCGUGCGAUACAGGGUGACAGCCCCGUACACAAAAAUGCACAUAUUGUGAGCUCGAUGAGUAGGGCGGGACACGUGGUAUCCUGUCUGAAUAUGGGGGGACCAUCCUCCAAGGCUAAAUACUCCUGACUGACCGAUAGUGAACCAGUACCGUGAGGGAAAGGCGAAAAGAACCCCGGCGAGGGGAGUGAAAAAGAACCUGAAACCGUGUACGUACAAGCAGUGGGAGCACGCUUAGGCGUGUGACUGCGUACCUUUUGUAUAAUGGGUCAGCGACUUAUAUUCUGUAGCAAGGUUAACCGAAUAGGGGAGCCGAAGGGAAACCGAGUCUUAACUGGGCGUUAAGUUGCAGGGUAUAGACCCGAAACCCGGUGAUCUAGCCAUGGGCAGGUUGAAGGUUGGGUAACACUAACUGGAGGACCGAACCGACUAAUGUUGAAAAAUUAGCGGAUGACUUGUGGCUGGGGGGGAAAGGCCAAUCAAACCGGGAGAUAGCUGGUUCUCCCCGAAAGCUAUUUAGGUAGCGCCUCGUGAAUUCAUCUCCGGGGGUAGAGCACUGUUUCGGCAAGGGGGUCAUCCCGACUUACCAACCCGAUGCAAACUGCGAAUACCGGAGAAUGUUAUCACGGGAGACACACGGCGGGUGCUAACGUCCGUCGUGAAGAGGGAAACAACCCAGACCGCCAGCUAAGGUCCCAAAGUCAUGGUUAAGUGGGAAACGAUGUGGGAAGGCCCAGACAGCCAGGAUGUUGGCUUAGAAGCAGCCAUCAUUUAAAGAAAGCGUAAUAGCUCACUGGUCGAGUCGGCCUGCGCGGAAGAUGUAACGGGGCUAAACCAUGCACCGAAGCUGCGGCAGCGACGCUUAUGCGUUGUUGGGUAGGGGAGCGUUCUGUAAGCCUGCGAAGGUGUGCUGUGAGGCAUGCUGGAGGUAUCAGAAGUGCGAAUGCUGACAUAAGUAACGAUAAAGCGGGUGAAAAGCCCGCUCGCCGGAAGACCAAGGGUUCCUGUCCAACGUUAAUCGGGGCAGGGUGAGUCGACCCCUAAGGCGAGGCCGAAAGGCGUAGUCGAUGGGAAACAGGUUAAUAUUCCUGUACUUGGUGUUACUGCGAAGGGGGGACGGAGAAGGCUAUGUUGGCCGGGCGACGGUUGUCCCGGUUUAAGCGUGUAGGCUGGUUUUCCAGGCAAAUCCGGAAAAUCAAGGCUGAGGCGUGAUGACGAGGCACUACGGUGCUGAAGCAACAAAUGCCCUGCUUCCAGGAAAAGCCUCUAAGCAUCAGGUAACAUCAAAUCGUACCCCAAACCGACACAGGUGGUCAGGUAGAGAAUACCAAGGCGCUUGAGAGAACUCGGGUGAAGGAACUAGGCAAAAUGGUGCCGUAACUUCGGGAGAAGGCACGCUGAUAUGUAGGUGAAGUCCCUCGCGGAUGGAGCUGAAAUCAGUCGAAGAUACCAGCUGGCUGCAACUGUUUAUUAAAAACACAGCACUGUGCAAACACGAAAGUGGACGUAUACGGUGUGACGCCUGCCCGGUGCCGGAAGGUUAAUUGAUGGGGUUAGCGCAAGCGCGAAGCUCUUGAUCGAAGCCCCGGUAAACGGCGGCCGUAACUAUAACGGUCCUAAGGUAGCGAAAUUCCUUGUCGGGUAAGUUCCGACCUGCACGAAUGGCGUAAUGAUGGCCAGGCUGUCUCCACCCGAGACUCAGUGAAAUUGAACUCGCUGUGAAGAUGCAGUGUACCCGCGGCAAGACGGAAAGACCCCGUGAACCUUUACUAUAGCUUGACACUGAACAUUGAGCCUUGAUGUGUAGGAUAGGUGGGAGGCUUUGAAGUGUGGACGCCAGUCUGCAUGGAGCCGACCUUGAAAUACCACCCUUUAAUGUUUGAUGUUCUAACGUUGACCCGUAAUCCGGGUUGCGGACAGUGUCUGGUGGGUAGUUUGACUGGGGCGGUCUCCUCCUAAAGAGUAACGGAGGAGCACGAAGGUUGGCUAAUCCUGGUCGGACAUCAGGAGGUUAGUGCAAUGGCAUAAGCCAGCUUGACUGCGAGCGUGACGGCGCGAGCAGGUGCGAAAGCAGGUCAUAGUGAUCCGGUGGUUCUGAAUGGAAGGGCCAUCGCUCAACGGAUAAAAGGUACUCCGGGGAUAACAGGCUGAUACCGCCCAAGAGUUCAUAUCGACGGCGGUGUUUGGCACCUCGAUGUCGGCUCAUCACAUCCUGGGGCUGAAGUAGGUCCCAAGGGUAUGGCUGUUCGCCAUUUAAAGUGGUACGCGAGCUGGGUUUAGAACGUCGUGAGACAGUUCGGUCCCUAUCUGCCGUGGGCGCUGGAGAAUUGAGGGGGGCUGCUCCUAGUACGAGAGGACCGGAGUGGACGCAUCACUGGUGUUCGGGUUGUCAUGCCAAUGGCACUGCCCGGUAGCUAAAUGCGGAAGAGAUAAGUGCUGAAAGCAUCUAAGCACGAAACUUGCCCCGAGAUGAGUUCUCCCUGACUCCUUGAGAGUCCUGAAGGAACGUUGAAGACGACGACGUUGAUAGGCCGGGUGUGUAAGCGCAGCGAUGCGUUGAGCUAACCGGUACUAAUGAACCGUGAGGCUUAACCUU
rnacentral:rRNA from 1 species